rnacentral:lncRNA from 1 species
GGCAGUACGAGGAUCCGACAUAUCAGGUUACAUAUCCAAACUUUUUUUUUAUAGUUUAAUGACUUAAUCAUUUAUUCUUAAAUUAAUUAUUUUAUCUACUAAUUUUACUUAUAAUUUUACAGAGACAAUGUGUCUAAAAUACGGCGAAUCGGACGAGACAGAUCGUGCCGCAUUAUGGGGGUUCGAGAUCGUUUGCUCGUCACAUGGAGCACAUGGUAGGUAAUUUUUAAUUUUUAAUUAGCAUAUAAUUUUUUAAUUAUUUAAUUUUUUUUAAUUAAUUCUCAAAUUGCAGAGAGAUGCUAAGAGUGGUGAGCUUCCUGGUAGGAUCGAUGUCUACCAGCGAACCCACCAGCGA